rnacentral:rRNA from 1 species
UACGUAGGGGGCUAGCGUUGUCCGGAUUUAUUGGGCGUAAAGAGCGUGUAGGCGGCCAGGUAGGUCUGCUGUGAAAACUCGAGGCUCAACCUCGAGACGUCGGCGGAAACCAUCUGGCUAGAGUCCGGAAGAGGAGAGUGGAAUUCCUGGUGUAGCGGUGAAAUGCGCAGAUAUCGGGAGGAACACCAAUGGCGAAGGCAGCUCGCUGGGACGUUACUGACGCUGAGACGCGAAAGCGUGGGGAGCGAACAGG